UCACUUUCCUACGUUCAAGAGACGUUUUUGGGCGUCAAAACCGAUUACUCAAACAACUGGCUUGCUCUUGCAAGUCAGUUUUUU
rnacentral:sRNA from 1 species